rnacentral:hammerhead_ribozyme from 1 species
AUCCAGCUGACGCGUCCCAAAAACAAGACAAAACGCUCGUCCUAGAU